rnacentral:lncRNA from 1 species
UAGUUCCUCUCCUCUUCCCCACCAGGGUCCUCAGCCACACACCCCGAGCCCUGCCUGCGGGCCCAGCCCCCCCAUUUCCGGAGCCUGCGCCCCGGACCCAGCGGGGGCUGAUCCCUGGGAAAGGCCUGGCUUCCUCUUCCUUCCUGUCCCUGCCCCACCUCCGCCGGGCUCCACAGCCGCCGGGAGCCCAGGGCCGAGACGGGAGGAGGGCACCCACCUGGUCGGUGUCACAUGCUGCUUCGGCCCCAGCGUCCCCUCCAGGUCCCGGCGCCGGCCGCAGUCCCCAGAGCCGUCCCCAGCGCAGGCCCGGCCGCCCCACCCGCGGCCCGCCCCUGGCCGCCCGACGGGAGGGAGGGAUCGGGUUCUCCUAGGAAGUUUCAGGUCAUUCAACAUUUAUUCAACCAAAAAUACUAAGUCAGCUCUAUACAAACUAAUGGAAGGAUACAGCUAUGCAAAUAUAGAACACUAAAGUGUUACAUGACAGAUGUAUGAGUGACCCCCAUCUCACUGUGGAAGAUGCAACAGUUGAAAGAAAUGGAGCCUGUGAAAGCACUUUGUGAACCCCAGAG